rnacentral:rRNA from 1 species
GACGAACGCUGGCGGCGUGCCUAAUACAUGCAAGUUGAGCGCUGAAGGUUGGUACUUGUACCAACUGGAUGAGCAGCGAACGGGUGAGUAACGCGUGGGGAAUCUGCCUUUGAGCGGGGGACAACAUUUGGAAACGAAUGCUAAUACCGCAUAAAAACUUUAAACACAAGUUUUAAGUUUGAAAGAUGCAAUUGCAUCACUCAAAGAUGAUCCCGCGUUGUAUUAGCUAGUUGGUGAGGUAAAGGCUCACCAAGGCGAUGAUACAUAGCCGACCUGAGAGGGUGAUCGGCCACCUUGGGACUGAGACACGGCCCAAACUCCUACGGGAGGCAGCAGUAGGGAAUCUUCGGAGAUGGACGAAAGGCUGACCGAGCAACGCCGCGUGAGUGAAGAAGGUUUUCGGAUCGUAAAACUCUGUUGGUAGAGAAGAACGUUGGUGAGAGUGGAAAGCUCAUCAAGUGACGGUAACUACCCAGAAAGGGACGGCUAACUACGUG